UUGGGGCGGAGUUGGUUCCUGCCUGCUUAGCGGGAGAAACCUUAGCAAGAAGUUGGAACUGGGUGGGGUGGAGACACUACCUGGAACCACACUCUGGCCUCGUCUUCUGCCUGCCUUCCGGAUGCUUAGCCACAGAAACUUUUAGUAAACCUCGUACAGCUGCUGUCCUGCCUGCUCGUUGGCUGUUGCAGCUUCAAAAGCAGGCUUAUUUCUAGGGACUGUGUACGUUUCUAUUUGCUUUUUUGUUGUUUUGUUUUUCCUUUUAGAGUCUGAAGCGAACUCUUUCGCUCGCAUUCCCUUUACACACAGAAGUGGUACUUCCCUGCCCACACCAUACCUUUUCUCUGGAAAUGGCUGCCUCUAGACCCCACUUAGAAGAGAAUGUGGCUGUAUGUGGGUGUUAGGCUUCCUAUUUUAAGGUUUGUGUCAAAGAAACCAUUGCUCUGUUUUAUAGACUCAGGGACCAAAGGGCAGAAGACUCGCUGUGACUCAACACUUCCUUUCCUCCCCUUAAAGAAACAGAUGCCCUAGGAUGGAGCGCCCAGCUUCUGUUAAUACCCUGCUGUGGCAACAGUGCAGAGAAGGGACAAAUCUGGUGGACAGAGGACACAGACGGGAGGCAGGCUGGAAAACUGCACUCGGACUAGGCCAACAGAGAAGUCACCAUUAACCAAUGAAAUCACUGAAUAGCUGCAGUCACCACCCCAGGUGCCCUUUCGGACCUAAAGAUGUCAAAGACAGGACCCUGCCUGGAAAGACAAGCUCCAUCCCAAGUGGAAAGACAGGAAGAAGGAGUGUGAUACCAGAAGACCAACAGACUUCAGUGCCUGGCAUUGCCCUGUGAGCAACAUUAGAAUCUGCGAGAAGCUGGAAAGAAUUUCCACUCUAUCCAAGGACUUGCUUCUUCUUCCUCUUCAUUGGUUACUGUACUCCUGGGCUAGCAAUGCCACAGUUUUAUACGCAGAGAGAUCCUUGUAAUGAGGACUACAUCAGCAAACAUGGAGGCCAGCUAUAACUGACUGGAAAGACACAAAGCAGGACAAAGGCCAAGCCUCCCUAGACAAAGACGACACUCCUUGCUAGAGGGCUGAGUGCUCACAAAGUCUAUCUUUUUGAUAUGCUAAUGAACACAAAGGAACCCUUAGACACAGGGACCCAAAGUUUCAACACAUUAUUUUCAAACUCACAGGCCUCAGAGUUGGGCAUACAGACAUGCCAGCUAUCAUAAGCUCUGCUCCACCGAAGGAGCUCUGAUGGAACCUCGCUGUCCUUUGUGAAGGGAGCAGGCAAAAGCACCUUGGCCCCAGUACUGCCAUUUUGACUUCAGACUCCAUUUUACCAGCAGGGUGAAACAAAGUUCAGGUCCCCAAGCCUUAGGGAGGCUGAGAACUCUCCAAUGGCUGAUCACCCUCCUCCCUAAACCGUAGAAAGUGUCUUUAUGCGUCUUUAGCCCUCUCUAGCAACGUUAUGGCUGUUCCUAACAUCAGAAGGAACAAAUGAAUCUGAUUGGCUGGACUGAAAGACUUGCAUUGUAUGUCAGCUGACAGUGAUGGGGCCCUCAAGGAAAGUCCCUCAUCUUUGAUUUCUGAUUGGUGAAAAUUGUAACUUGGCAACAAAUGUUUGUGAAUUUUAUGCUAUGAACCCCACUUUCACCCCUGCUUGGGGCUGUCAGGAGGAAAAAGUCUCCCAAGUCCCUGCCCUGCAGCCCUGCUUAGGUGGCGAUUUACUAAACCUUUGGAACCCGUUAAGUGUUGUCUCUCUCUUUCCUCGAGGCACAUAGCGGGCUAGGUGUAACACUCCGGGGCCUGAAAAAAGCACUAGGAUUGAAGUUAUAUGCGUGGAGGCCUCUGCUCAAUCCUACCUCCAGGAGAGGACGGCUGCCACCCAACACAGACGGAAAGAGAAUCUUUAACCCAGUGUUGGGUAUGGGGAGAUUUUCCAGAAGAGGGAAGGCAUUGGCUGAGUUCCAGAUAACUGACUGGAAUUACUUGAAGACUUCUCAGAGCUCCCCCCACUAAUAAUCAGUUAAAGAAAACUAAAAACACAAUAGAAGUUCUUAUUUUUGAAACGGUGUUUGGCUUUCUCUGCUUCCUGUGUACAGAAAAAAAUGUGAACAGUCAGUGUCCGGCUCCUGCUGCCUGCCACCGUACCUUCCCACCAUCGUGGCCUCGCUCUCUGGAACUCUGCGUUCCAUACCAACAGGAAACUGGCUAACACAGGAACCAAGAAAUAGGGCAGUGAUACGGCCACCGAUAACCAUGAAGUCGAGAAGUCUUUGCAGCCACUGCUUACAGCUCAGGGUUUGCCUUGGGUCUUAAAGGAGACUUUGAACAUGGGUUUCGAGCAGUGCUGGAACCCUUAAGAUUUUGGCAGCUCAGACAGGCAAACUGAAUGCAUGUUACAUUGGGAAGGGGUGAGAGCCUUUCAGGGCCAGGCUUCACCAGCACCAGCUGUCCGUCAACCCUCUGCCGCACCGUUUCUAACAAGCAAGUUACUCCUUAGCCGUGAAGCAAGCAGUUUUGCUCCAUUGUGUGUUUUCACUAUACUCCCUUGCCGGAGGCCUGAAAGUACAGAGCCCAACAAUCACAGACUGAAGCUUCAAAGGCUGGGGGGACCAUCUGGACAGGCUGAUCUUCAGGAGGUGAGGCUCCCUUGGGAGAAGUCAGUCAUUGAGAAUGGGAGGCUUUAUAGCUGGGCCCCACUUUCUGCUCACCCUCUGUUUCCUACGUGUGACAAGCCAGUCUCCUGCUCCUGCCUCCAGGCCUUCUCUGCCUGCUGUUAUGUAUUCCCCACCACGAUGGAACCAAAGCACACCUUUUCUCCCUUCAAAAGUGCACUGUAUAUCAGGUAAAAGCUUGUGUGCAUGUGUGUGUGCGCGUGCUUGACUGUGUGUGCAUGUGUGUACACUUACGUAUGGAGGUCAGAAGUUCAAGCAUCUUCCUUAGUCACUCUCUACCUCGUUUUCUGAGUCAGGGUCUCUCACUGGACUUGAACUUCAUGGAUUUUGCUAGAAUGGCUGGCUGGCCACCUUCAGGGAUUGACCUGUCUCCACCCACCAGUACUAGGGUUACACCACCUUGUCUGACUUCCACAUGAGUAAUGGAGGUUCCAACUUAGGUCUUCAUGCCUACACAGCCAGAACUCCACUGACUGAGAUGUCUUCUGGGCCCUGAUCCCAGGUGAGCUCUGUGAGCACUGAUGUGUGGCCAGCGCUCUGUGGGGGUCGCUAUGUUACUUCUUUCCUCCUUUAAUUCUUAUAGUGAACCUUGUGGUAGGCAUGGCCUUAACCCAUACUUGACAUGGGAGGACCCAGGUUUAGAGCGAUGACAUUACAAGGCCAUACAGAACAAGGUUGUGUGUCUGCAGAGCCCAAAUUCCUCUGCAGCCCACAGUUGUAAGUUUUCUGUAUAUUCUGCAACCUGGAGAGGACAUCAUAGCACACCCAGCACCAGCGUGCUCUGCCUCAGCCCUCACACUCGCAACACAGCAUCCAUCUCACUGUGCACUUGAAGGAACUUUUUAUUAUUUUCCCUAGAAAGAACCUCUGUGAGCUAACCCCUCACAGUCUGCGCAGUGUUGUUAAGCCGUAAGACACAUUCUUCAACUGCUACCCAGAAACACACGGCUGUAGGGCAGAAAGACAUAUGUCUUCAGGCCUUCUAAGACAUUUAGCCAUUGCCUCCACUCACGUUAAGAUGAAAUAUCAGCCUUGAACCCAAAGUACACAGGGAGCGACACCCUCGAAAACAGCUUUCUGUCCAAAAGUUCUAGAUGUGGUCACUGGGUUUUCCUCAUAGGCACAUGAAGUGCACCCCACACGCUUCAGACCUGUAUUGCUCCAACAUGCGUAUAGCACCAAGGUGUUGACCCAGCUCCCAUAAGGUCAAGGUGCUCUUGUUCUUGAAUUCAGCCCACUGUAAACUUUAACUAUAUCUUGAGUAAAUAGAAGGCAGAAGCCAUACUGUCUGCCUUGGCAGGCAAAAGGCUUUCUCCAGGGAAUAGAAUCAUACGUUCUCGUGGUAUCAGGGCAAGGGUGGAAAAGAAAACAUCUGAGGAGCAGCAAUGGCAGUGCUUCCGGGGCUGGCAGGACUGAGGUGAGGGAGGUUCCCAUGCGUCCUCCAUAGUGGUAAUGUGUACAUGUCAUCUUCAACUAAACAAUAAACAUCUAAAGUUUU